ACAUCACACAGAUCAGGGAUAAAGUUUUGGAGAAGUUUCAAGCAGGAUAAAGUCAUACAACAACACCCCACAAUCAGUCAUCUAGAAAAUGGAAAAGUAUGUCAGAAAUGCAAAUUUCCUAAAGCAUCUUCCUAAAACAAGCCUGAAAGAAUUAAUCAGAAAAGAAAUCCAGGGUCUUCAUCAUAGAACAUGGCGAUGGUGGAUCAUGCUGUGGGAAUUCUUUA